ACCUGGGCCUGUGGCACGGCCUCGGGCUGCCGGUGCUGCUGUCGGCGCUGGUGCUGACCGUCGGCGCCGUCGCGUUCGUCGCCCGGGCCCGGUUGC
rnacentral:tRNA from 1 species